rnacentral:misc_RNA from 1 species
GAAAAAAAAAGGAAAAAAAAAAAAUAUUAGAUUAGAACAUCAUGGCACAAAUUUGAAAAUUCCCACAUUCUACACCAAAGAUCCUUUUUUCUUCUGAACUUCUCUUCUGAAAAACACACGUACAUACACUCUUCUUUUUGUUUCAGUUAAUCAACAUCCACUUCAAAAUUUGUGAUCUGAUUACAGCUCUAACUGCCAUUACCUGUGCAUUAACUGGUAAAAGAUGAUGAUUUGGCUGACGAACAUUUCACAUCUAUGACUACUAGAAAAAGAAAACAAGCAACAUGCAUGAUGGUAUUGACUCACCUGGAAUUUGCUGUAUGCAAUUCG